rnacentral:miRNA from 1 species
UUGUGUACCAAUGGUCGUCUC